GAAAUGCGAUACUUGGUGUGAAUUGCAGAAUUCAGUGAAUCAUCGAGUCUUUGAACGCACAUUGCGCCCCCUGGCAUUCCGGGGGGCAUGCCUGUCCGAGCGUCAUUGCUGCCCAUCAAGCCCGGCUUGUGUGUUGGGUCGUCGUCCCCCCCCGGGGGACGGGCCCGAAAGGCAGCGGCGGCACCGUGUCCGGUCCUCGAGCGUAUGGGGCUUUGUCACCCGCUCGACUAGGGCCGGCCGGGCGCCAGCCGACGUCUCCAACCAUUUUUCUUCAGGUUGACCUCGGAUCAGGUAGGGAUACCCGCUGAACUUAA
rnacentral:misc_RNA from 1 species